rnacentral:tRNA from 1 species
UCCUUAGUAGCUCAGUGGUAGAGCAAUCGGCUGUUAACCGAUUGGUCGUAGGUUCGAAUCCUACCUGGGGAG